rfam:Ficedula albicollis isolate OC2 chromosome 20, whole genome shotgun sequence.
GUAGGCUACGGAGACAUUUACCCCAAAACUCUUUUGGGUAAAAUAGUAGGAGGACUGUGCUGCAUUGCUGGUGUGCUGGUGAUAGCUCUUCCCAUCCCAAUUAUUGUCAAUAAC